UACGGAGGGUGCGAGCGUUGUCCGGAAUCACUGGGCGUAAAGGGCGCGUAGGUGGCGCUGCAAGUCAACGGUGAAAGCUCGACGCUUAACGUCGAGUCGGCCGUCGAAACUGCAGCGCUCGAGCACUGUAGAGGCUCAUGGAAUUCCGGGUGUAGCGGUGGAAUGCGUAGAGAUCCGGAAGAACACCGGUGGCGAAGGCGGUGAGCUGGGCAGUUGCUGACACUGAUGCGCGACAGCGUGGGGGAGCAAACAGG
rnacentral:rRNA from 1 species